rnacentral:rRNA from 1 species
UACGUAGGGUGCGAGCGUUGUCCGGAAUUAUUGGGCGUAAAGGGCUCGUAGGCGGUUUGUCACGUCGGGCGUGAAAUCCACCAGCUUAACUGGUGGCCUGCGUUCGAUACGGGCAGACUAGAGGUAUGCAGGGGAGAACGGAAUUCCUGGUGUAGCGGUGAAAUGCGCAGAUAUCAGGAGGAACACCGGUGGCGAAGGCGGUUCUCUGGGCAUUACCUGACGCUGAGGAGCGAAAGUGUGGGGAGCGAACAGG